UACGUAGGGAGCAAGCGUUGUCCGGAAUCAUUGGGCGUAAAGCGCGCGUAGGCGGCCUUGUAAGUCCGUUGUGAAAGUCAAAGGCUCAACCUUUGAAAGCCGAUGGAUACUGUGAGGCUAGAGUCCGGAAGAGGCGAGUGGAAUUCCUGGUGUAGCGGUGGAAUGCGCAGAUAUCAGGAGGAACACCGAUGGCGAAGGCAGUUCUCUGGGCCGGCAUUGACGCUGAGGAGCGAAAGCCAGGGGAGCAAACGGG
rnacentral:rRNA from 1 species